rnacentral:lncRNA from 1 species
UCCGGCUGGUCUGUGGGGUUUCGGGUUCGGGGUUUCCUGGUGGGCGUCAGGGGCAGGCAACAGAGUGGCGGCCGCUACGGCCCUGUAACAGGGCCAUGGAGAAGCUGCGGCGAGUCCUGAGCGGCCAGGACGACGAGGAGCAGGGCCUGACUGCGCAGGAUUCACAGAUUAAUCUCUUGAGGUCCUGGAUGCCUCAUCCCUUAGUUUCAACACCAGAUUGAAAUGGUUUGCCAUCUGCUUCGUAUGUGGCGUUUUCUUUUCUAUUCUUGGAACUGGAUUGCUGUGGCUUCCGGGCGGCAUAAAGCUUUUUGCAGUGUUUUAUACCCUCGGCAAUCUUGCUGCGUUAGCCAGUACAUGCUUUUUAAUGGGACCUGUGAAGCAACUGAAGAAAAUGUUUGAAGCAACAAGAUUGCUUGCAACAAUUGUUAUGCUUUUGUGUUUCAUAUUUACCCUGUGUGCUGCUCUUUGGUGGCAUAAGAAGGGACUGGCUGUGUUAUUCUGCAUAUUGCAGUUCUUGUCAAUGACCUGGUAUAGCCUGUCGUACAUCCCAUAUGCAAGGGAUGCAGUUAUUAAAUGCUGUUCUUCUCUCCUAAGUUGAAAAUCAGAAACUUGUGGAAAAGAGCACUUGAAUGUUGGUACUCUAUGUUUGGUGAAGUUUG